rnacentral:rRNA from 1 species
GACGAAGGGGGCUAGCGUUAUUCGGAAUUACUGGGCGUAAAGCGCGUAUAGGCGGUUGUUCAAGUCAGGUGUGAAAGCCUUGAGCUCAACUCAAGAAAUGCACUUGAUACUGGAUGACUAGAGGACCGGAGAGGAUAGUGGAAUUCCCAGUGUAGUGGUGAAAUACGUAGAGAUUGGGAAGAACACCAGUGGCGAAGGCGGCUAUCUGGACGGUUUCUGACGCUAAGACGCGAAAGCGUGGGGAGCAAACAGG